CCUACGGGAGGCAGCAGUGGGGAAUAUUGCACAAUGGGGGAAACCCUGAUGCAGCGACGCCGCGUGAGUGAAGAAGUAUUUCGGUAUGUAAAGCUCUGUCAGCAGGGAAGAAAAUGCCGGUACCUGACCAAGACGCCCCGGCUAACUACGUGCCAGCAGCCGCGGUAAUACGUAGGGGGCAAGCGUUAUCCGGAUUUACUGGGUGUAAAGGGAGCGUAGCCGGCAGGGCAAGUCUGGAGGUAAAGGCGGGGGCUCAACCCCCGGACUGCACUGGAAACUGGCAGGCUGGAGGGCAGGAGAGGUAAGUGGAAUGCCUGGUGUAGCGGUGAAAUGCGUAGAUAUUAGGAGGAACACCAGUGGCGAAGGCGGCUUACUGGACUGUAACUGACGUUGAGGCUCGAAAGCGUGGGGAGCAAACAGGAUUAGAUACCCUUGUAGUC
rnacentral:rRNA from 1 species